rnacentral:rRNA from 1 species
GACGAACGCUGGCGGCGUGCUUAACACAUGCAAGUCGAACGGAAAGGCCUGCUUUCCCUUGUGGAUUGCGGGUACUCGAGUGGCGAACGGGUGAGUAACACGUGAGUGAUCUGCCCCCAACUUGGGUAUAAGCCUGGGAAACUGGGUCUAAUUCCCGAUAGGACUGCAGGGUGGUGCCUGUGGUGGAAAACGAUUUUCUAGUGGUUGGUGAUGAGCUCGCGGCCUAUCAGCUUGUUGGUGGGGUAAUGGCCUACCAAGGCGGCGACGGGUAGCCGGCCUGAGAGGGUGGACGGCCACAUUGGGACUGAGAUACGGCCCAGACUCCUACGGGAGGCAGCAGUGGGGAAUAUUGCACAAUGGGCGGAAGCCUGAUGCAGCGACGCCGCGUGGGGGAUGACGGCCUUCGGGUUGUAAACUCCUUUCGACCGCGAGGAAGCCACCUGGUUGGAAGGGUGGUGACGGUAGUGGUAGAAGAAGCACCGGCUAACUACGUG